UGGUGUUCUCAGGGCGGGGUGCAAUUCCCCACCGGCGGUAUCGGGAGAAAUCCCGGAGCCCGCAAGCGCUUCCGGGCAUGCUCGGAAGGUCAGCAGAUCCGGUGCGAUGCCGGGGCCGACGGUAUAGUCCGGAUGGAAGAGAGCAAGG
rnacentral:ncRNA from 1 species